UACGUAGGGUGCGAGCGUUAAUCGGAAUUACUGGGCGUAAAGCGUGCGUAGGCGGUUUUGUAAGUCAGAUGUGAAAUCCCCGGGCUUAACCUGGGAAUGGCAUUUGGGACUGCAAGGCUCGAGUGCGGCAGAGGAGACUGGAAUUCCUGGUGUAGCAGUGAAAUGCGUAGAUAUCAGGAGGAACACCGAUGGCGAAGGCAGGUCUCUGGGCUGACACUGACGCUCAUGCACGAAAGCGUGGGGAGCAAACAGG
rnacentral:rRNA from 1 species